ACGGCAGGGCCGGCUGUGCAUCCGGACCGGGCAGUGGCCCAGCCCCUUAAACGCCGGUUUCAGCCUUCGCAGCCCCGUAGACCACGUUUGAGUCGGUCUCUUCAUGUCCUGGGAAAAGAGCCACGGUUCUGGCCCCGAGCGGAAGCUCGGAGCGCGGGGCUGGUGAGAGCCGCGUGCCGGCGCCCGGACGGCGCUGCCCGGUAGGAACCCCCCGCCCCGCGAGCAUUUCCCCCGCGACGCCCGGAAGGAGGCUGAAGUCCUGCCGCCCCGGGGCAGAGAACGUCCGCGAGAUGGGCUGGUAAACCCCGCCCGUCCUGGGUCACGGCGACCUCGUUUGAGGAGUAGGGUUGCCAAGGUUUGUUUUUAAAGAAUUUGCUGGAGACACCCUUGGGCACGCGUUCCCGGCUUGUUUUGAUGUUCUCGCCCUCACAGACGUCAUGACCCGCAUGCAGAAUCAAAGCUGGAUGGGCUGGCAGCUGCUGCCACACCUCCUUGUCUUCUCAGCACGAUCCCUACUGUAAAACGGUGAGCUUCCCUCACCGUCCGUGCGCCGGGCUCCUCACUAAGUGCUUGCUGUCCCGGGACGUGUCCGGGAGGCUGGGCAGUCUGACCCUGCUUCACAGACAAGGCCCCCGGGGUGGAGAAGAGCGGGCCCUCGGCCCUUGUUCUGUCUGGCCACAGAGUGGGCCCCCCGUGGAACCCACCACAACAGGCUCCCCCACCCUCGGGCCGCUCUCCUCAUCUGAAAAGUAUAUAGGGCCCGAUCCUCGGGGUGCCUGGGAGCGUCGCACAAGCAAGCAACGGUGCCACACAGCAAACUCAAGAAACAGUCAUCAGGAGAAAUAAUAUUCUAUGCAAUAUUCGAAAAAAAUGUAGAAAACCCCCAUAUGAACAAAAUUUUUAAAGUUUAAAGAAAUCCAUAUUGGAACCUGAGGCAGAAGGAAAAUGCGUUUUGUUCUAUCCAUAUUUCUAUGUGUUUUUAAAUAAUUUAGAAAAUACUAUUGAUGAGUUCACUUCCUUUAAAUCCAGGAAAGAAAAUCAUAAGAAAUUGUUUUUUUCUUUUGUAUAACUAAAAUAUUUAAAC